GCCAGGCAUGGUGGCCUGUGCCUGUCGUCCCAGCUACUUGGGAGGCUGAGGCAGGAGAUCUCUUGAGCCCAGGAGUUCGGGGCUGUAGUGCACUAUGCCGAUCGGGUGUCUGCACUAAGUUUGGCCUCAAUACGGUGACCUUCCGGGAGCCGGGGGACCACCGGUUGCCUAAGGAGGGGUGAACCAGCCCAGGUCAGAAACGGAGCAGGUCAAAACUCCCGUGUUGAUCAGUAGUGGGAUCAGUUUGUGAAAAGCCACUGCACUGAUCAGCCUGUGAACAGCCACUGCACUCCAGCCUGGGCAACAUAGCGAGACCCCGUCUUUA
ensembl:misc_RNA Metazoa_SRP Metazoan signal recognition particle RNA